rnacentral:misc_RNA from 1 species
GAUCAAAGCUCAAAUGUUUAG